UGUGUAUGAAGUAAAGCUGUGUCACUGAAUUCUUCCAUGAGAAAAAAAUGGCACUUGCUUUCAACAUUCAUCGACUCUUGCUGAACAUUUAGAUAGACCAAGCAGUGGACGUGAGCACAGUGAGGAGAGAGCCAGGGACGGACGAGGGAGUUGUUGCUGGCAUGCAAAAAUAUGGAGAACAGAGAGAGCUGAGGUUAAAACAGAGACUGUUCUUCAGAAAUAUCUAAGUCUUAUCAGAAAGAGCAUCCCAGCAUCUGAGAUCACCAGCAGUUCUCUUUCUUUCUGAUAGAUAAGAACACAAUCAUAGACAAAGAAAUGCUAACAACUUAUUUUGAGAGUCAUUCUGGAGAAACAUUUCUUCUUACUGUAUCAGCAUUGUUAUAAUCUUCAGUGUAUUGUUCAAAUGGUAAUGUCUGUCCACUGUAAUGAAUUUUCAUUACACUUUUUCUUAGAAACUCCAUAAAACUUUGUGAAGGCACAAUAAGAGUUAACUUUAUUUGGGGUUUCACUAUGUAGCAUCACUCUCCAAUAUGCUAUGUUUGUUUGUUUGAUCACAUUAACAUAUUUUUUGUGCUGUUGCAUUUGACAUUGCAACAGUACAGUAAAUUAUACAUCUUUCACGCUACCAGUCUCUAUGCAAGCACCUGUUCAAGUUAGACUGCACAAUAUGUCCAUAAUUUCCUCUGAAGGCAAUGUACUUUUCUUCAAAUGGGUGACUAAGUUUAAUAUAACCUGUAAACAGAAAUGAAAAGUCAUAUAUUUGUGAGUAAUUGUACUGAAGUCCUUUCCUAAUUCCUUCAAUUUUCC
rnacentral:lncRNA from 1 species